CGGGAACAAGCAGGUCUAGCUGCCAAUGAGAGUCGAGGGUGGGAGGUGGCUAAGAUGGCCCCUGGGGAGACGCGAGGAAGACUUAGACCGGCGUUUUGGGAGCUAUGCGUGACGUAAUGAAGGACCGGCUUGUCUGGAGAUAAAAAAAUUCUACUGGAAUUCACAAGGGAAACUCACCUUAAUGUACAACACCUACAUCAAGAAGAACCGGUUUGUAUAGCUGUGGACAGCUACAAGUGGUGUCGAGAGCAGGGACCUGAACACGAAGGGGUCAAUGGAGGACAACACUGUCUUGUUGGAGUUCCACAGAAAACAAAAGAAAAAAGAUGGUAUCCGGCACAGCAGAACACAGAACCAAUGAUUCUGCAUUAAUAAGGAGUCUGAAAAACACUUUAACUUAAAAACAUUUUGUCUGGGAAGCAGAAAAAUUAAGGAAUGACAUUCUAGUUUUAGCUGAGGAGGAACUCAAUUGAAGAACACAUGUCCCUCAUGGUACAUUGAAAAUUGCUCUUUUGAAAGAAGAUAUGAGUCAUAGAUUAACAGGCUGCUGUUUAUGUUUCUAACUGAUAAUUUUGCCCCUAUCUCUUGUAACACCACAUUCUGUAUGCGAAUUUUUCAGUCUACUGAGGAAGGAGUCAAGUGAAUAUUUUCUUUUCAGUCUGAGAGAAUCAAAGAAAUGAUGUCUGCUGGAUAAAUAAGGUAAAUAUUCCAAGAAAGAAAAAGUGAAUGUUAACAUCAUCAUUUUGGGAAAAGAGG